AACGAACGCUGGCGGCGUGCCUAACACAUGCAAGUCGAACGAGAAAGGGGCUUCGGCUCCGAGUAAAGUGGCGCACGGGUGAGUAACACGUGGGUAACCUGCCUCUAAGAUUGGGAUAACUCGUCGAAAGAUGAGCUAAUACCGAAUGAGACCACAGUUCCUGCGGGAAAAGAGGUCAAAGGUAGCCUCUGCUUGCAAGCUAUCACUUAGAGAUGGGCCUGCGCACCAUUAGCUAGUUGGUAGGGUAACGGCCUACCAAGGCAAAGAUGGUUAGCUGGUCUGGAGGGAUGGUCAGCCAACCUGGAACUGAGACACGGUCCAGACUCCUACGGGAGGCAGCAGUGGGGGAUAUUGCGCAAUGGGCGAAAGCCUGACGCAGCAACGCCGCGUGAGUGAUGAAGGCCUUCGGGUCGUAAAGCUCUGUCGGGAGGAACGAAUGCUCCUGAGGUUAACAGCCUCGGGAGGUGACGGUACCUUCAAAGGAAGCACCGGCUAACUCUGUGCCAGCCGCCGCGGUAAAAC
rnacentral:rRNA from 1 species